UGAGCCAUUAGCUCAGUUGGUAGAGCAUCUGACUUUUAAUCAGAGGGUCAGAGGUUCGAAUCCUCUAUGGCUCACCAU
rnacentral:tRNA from 1 species